rnacentral:tRNA from 1 species
GGCCUUAUAUUCAAAAUAUGAUUUUAAAUUGCAAAUUUAAAGGUAGGGUAACCUUAAGGCUU